AGUCAUUUACCAUUUCAUGAUAGUUCUCUCACAGAGAUAGGUUAAGUUCUUAUUUUGAGAGUGUUAACAUUUAUUAUCAAUGGCUUAUCGAGGAAGAAAAUCAAGUGAGUUUGACAAACUCCAGAAGGAGAACUCUCAGAUGAGGAGCGUCAUCGAAAACUUGAGGAAGCAAAACAUGGCUUUAAACCAACAGGAUGACCAGGACAGGUUUUCAAGUUUUGGCUAUCAGGAGAGCUACCCAAUCCCAGAGGGCCAUCGGGGCUUCAUCAGUGAUGCCAGACUUCUGCAGAUGCAGAGAGCUGAGAGAGAGGCCAUGGAAGGAAAGCAAAGAAAGAUAAGUGCUAUCCAUGAGAAUUAUGUCCGGACUGCUCUCAUCGGGGUUGGCAGCACCUUCGCGCACCACUUCGUCCCCUCUAUUCAGUGCAUUCCGCGGCCGAAAGCUCCACCGAGGCCUUUGCCACGAAGGCUUGAACACAUAGCUCUGGCCCCACUGAAGAACGUGGUGGGGGUGGACGGAGCCCAAGUUCGACCCGGAUCUCACUCUCUGGAGUCCAUCCAGGUAAAUAAGUCAUUCAGCAGCAGUAGCGUGCGGCCUGUUCCCGUCCCUCCCACUGGAGCUCCCUCCAAGAGGGGCAAGAAGAAGAAGGGCAGGCGGGGAGUCAAAGCCCUGAAAGUCCAGUUGGACCAGGGCUGUGCUGACAACAACGGACCCAUUGACCUGAUGGAGGAGGUGAGGGACAUCGAGGCUCACCUGAAGGAGGAGGCCUGGAAGGUGGUACAUGAGGUGAAGGCCAUGGGCAGGAGAAGUUUUGGCUCGGCCAUGUCCAUGGGGGAAAUAGCCACCAGCUCUCUGGGAAGCCUGAGCUCAGUGGAUAUGAACACCCCUGCGGAGCUCCGUGACUACUUGGAUGUUGGGACCCCGGUAAAGUCGCGUGACAGCCCACCCAGGCCUGCUCCCCCCCCUACCAAGCCCAGGAGCAAACUGCCUCGGCCUACAAGGUUCCUUAGCCUGCAAAAGGCUGACACCGGCUCAGUUCACAGAGAGAUAGAUGUCUGCUGUCAACCCAUAGACAAGAAGGCAGCCAGUGAGCCAAAGGGCCAAAUAAAGAAAAGUCAGGACCAGGCCAGAUUGCAGCCCCUGUCCAACCCAGAGCAGGCCCUGACUAAGACCUUCAAGCUGCUCCACUCUGCCUCUGAUGACUGGGAGAAGAAGAUCGAGGGCUUGACCUCUCUCCGUGUGAUGGCUCAGAACCACAUGGACAUACUGAUGCCUAAACUCCAUGAUAUCUGCCUUGCCAUUAUAAAUGAGGUGAAGAACCUGCGCUCUGCAGUGUCCUGUGCUGCCAUGGCCACACUGGGUGACAUGUACGUUCACCUCCAGAGGGCCAUGGACAGUGAGGUGGAGGGGACGGCACGCGUGCUGCUGCACAAAGCCAGCGAGGCCAACAACUUCAUCCGGCAGGCCGCCAACUUUGCCCUGGGUCACAUGGUGCAGAGCUGCACCCCUACCCGUGUCAUGAAUGCCCUGCUGGUCGGUGGGCUGAGCCACCGUAACGCUGCGGUGAGGAGCUGCACUGCUCAGCACCUGGAGAGACUGGCUGAGGUCAUGGGGAUGGCUCGUCUCCUGUCGGGGAAGAAAGACCUCACUGACCGUUUCUUGAUUGCCAGGUGUAUGGUGUUUUCUCCGACACAUUGGUGCAGCUGGCUUCCAGGUUAAGCGGGCUUUGUGUCAAGAAGUAGUACGGCUUGGCUGGGUUGUGUUUCGCAGGACGCACGGCUCUCGACCCUCUUGCAAAUUCGACCUAAUGCAUCAUGGUCGCAAUAUCUUGAGAAACGUGGCCCCCAAUGGCGACUUUGCUAAAAUGUGGGACAAAUUCGCUCCGAGGAAAGAGCGAGAAUCCUUGAGGGAGGUCAUCUCAAAGGUUAACCUCAAAGAAAGGUACAUUCUCUCUGGAUGAUUAGAAGAAGUAUGACAAAUGAGCUGAUAUGAUUACAGAACUCCAAUCCCACUGGGCACAGACAUCAGUUCAAUGUCUAGUUUUGAUUUAAAUUUGGGAAAUCAACCAAUGUGAAAUUAACCAAAAAUGUUGGUUAAAAGUUGGGUGAAAAAAAUCCAAUUGUGUUUUCCACAUUGAUUCACCGUCAUCACAUAGAUUUUUUUGUUGUUGUUGAAAUGAGGUGGAAACAACGUUUAUUCAACCAGUUUUGGCCCAAUGGGAUGAAUUUAAUAUACUGUAAGAUUAUAUCUUUCUGUCUUUUCUCUUUUUCAACAGGAAUAUCUGAAUAAUCCCCAACUUGACUAUAUGUUUGUAUCUAAAUAUUUGCACAUUUCCCAACUUGACUAUUAUCGCCUCCAGUCCCCAAACUCUAAUAUUUUCGCUCAUUCUAAGAAAUUUGACACUAUCAUCCAAACCCCCAUGUAAAUGCAUCUUUAAGCUGCAUCGACUCCCUGUCCAAGUCCUGAAUUCACUAUAAGGCAAUAUGAACCACAUUCAAAGCACUAAAUGACCUUUCCUCGAAGCUCCUAUCUGAUCUACCAGCUCAAUAGUGGUCUACUGAAACCAUACUCACCAUCUCAGGGGGUGCUCAGAUCAUCAACCACUGACCUCCACACCAUCCUCAAAACCAGCAGUCCUCUUUUGGAGGCAGAUUGGUCAGUGCUCCUGUAUGGCACCAACAUUGUGGAUUUUCAUCCAAUGCUUCUGGACUAUGAGAACAUUCUUUGGACAAUAAAAUUAGGUAAAAUGGAA